GAUGAAGAACGUAGCGAAAUGCGAUACGUAAUGUGAAUUGCAGAUUUCAGUGAAUCAUCGAGUCUUUGAACGCACAUUGCGCCCCCUGGUAUUCCGGGGGUCAUGCCUGUCCGAGCGUCAUUGCUGCCCUCAAGCACGGCUUGUGUGUUGGGCCUCCGUCCUCCUCCCGGGGGACGGGCCCGAAAGGCAGCGGCGGCACCGCGUCCGGUCCUCGAGCGUAUGGGGCUUCGUCACCCGCUCUUGUAGGCCCGGCCGGCGCUUGCCGACACAUCAAUCUUUUUUCCAGGUUGACCUCGGAUCAGGUAGGGAUACCCGCUGAACUUAAGCAUAUCAAUAAGCGGAGGA
rnacentral:misc_RNA from 1 species